UACGGAGGGUGCAAGCGUUGUCCGGAAUCACUGGGCGUAAGGGCGCGUAGGCGGCUCAUGAAGGCUGUGGUGAAAGUCCGGGGCUCAACCUCGGAUCGGCCGUGGCGACUCGUGGGCUGGAGCACUGUAGAGGCGGGCGGAAUUCCCGGUGUAGUGGUGGAAUGCGUAGAUAUCGGGAGGAACACCAGUGGCGAAGGCGGUUGCCUGGGGCUUUGCUGACGCUGAUGCGCGAAAGCGUGGGGAGCGAG
rnacentral:rRNA from 1 species